rnacentral:rRNA from 1 species
UACGUAGGGCGCAAGCGUUGUCCGGAAUUAUUGGGCGUAAAGAGCUCGUAGGCGGCUUGUCACGUCGGGUGUGAAAGCCCGGGGCUUAACCCCCGGGUCUGCAUUCGAUACGGGGCUGGCUAGAGUGUGGUAGGGGAGAUCGGAAUUCCUGGUGUAGCGGUGAAAUGCGCAGAUAUCAGGAGGAACACCGGUGGCGAAGGCGGAUCUCUGGGCCAUUACUGACGCUGAGGAGCGAAAGCGUGGGGAGCGAACAGG